CACGUAGGGGGGCAAGCGUUGUCCGGAUUUAUUGGGCGUAAAGAGCUCGUAGGCGGUCUGUCGCGUCUGCUGUGAAAACUCAGGGCUUAACCCUGAGCUUGCAGUGGGUACGGGCAGACUAGAGUGCGGUAGGGGAGACUGGAAUUCCUGGUGUAGCGGUGAAAUGCGCAGAUAUCAGGAGGAACACCGGUGGCGAAGGCGGGUCUCUGGGCCGUAACUGACGCUGAGGAGCGAAAGCAUGGGGGAGCGAACAGG
rnacentral:rRNA from 1 species